UGAUGACGAGACGCUAAGGCGUUGAAGUGGUGUAUGUCAGACUUCCAAGAAAAGCUCGCAAUGUCAUAGAUAAAAAAUGCCUGUACCAUAACCGACACAGGUGGGUAGGUAGAGUAUACUAAGGGGCGCGAGAUAACUCUCUCUAAGGAACUCGGCAAAAUGACUCCGUAACUUCGGGAGAAGGAGUGCCUUAUUUAUAAGGUUGCAAUAACAAGAUCCAAGCAACUGUUUAUCAAAAACACAGGUCUCCGCUAAGUCGUAAGACGAUGUAUGGGGGCUGACGCCUGCCCAGUGCCAGAAGGUUAAAGAAGUUGGUUAGUGUAAGCGAAGCUGAUAACUGAAGCCCUGGUGAACGGCGGCCGUAACAAUAACGGUCCUAAGGUAGCGAAAUUCCUUGUCGGGUAAGUUCCGACCCGCACGAAAGGCGUAAUGAUUUGGAUACUGUCUCGGAGAGAGGCUCGGUGAAAUAGACUUGUCUGUGAAGAUGCGGACUACCUGCACCAGGACAGAAAGACCCUAUGAAGCUUUACUGUAACUUGAAAUUGGAAUUGGACUUUGCUUGCGCAGUAUAGGUGGGAAGCGUUGAAGAUACUCUUGCGGGACUAUUGGAGCUAUCAGUGAGAUACCACUCUUGUAAUGUUAGAUUUCUAGCUUUGAACCAUAAUCUGGUCAAAGAACAGUUUCAGGCGGGCAGUUUGACUGGGGCAGUCGCCUCCUAAAUGGUAACGGAGGCGUACAAAGGUUUCCUCUGAACGGAUAGAAAUCGUAUCUAGAGUGUAAAGGCAUAAGGAAGCUUGACUGUGAGACCUACAAGUCGAGCAGGGACGAAAGUCGGUCUUAGUGAUCUGACGGUACUGAGUGGAAAGGCCGUCACUCAACGGAUAAAAGUUACUCUAAGGAUAACAGGCUGAUCUCCCCCAAGAGUUCACAUCGACGGGGAGGUUUGGCACCUCGAUGUCGGCUCAUCGCAUCCUGGGGCGGUAGUACGUCCCAAGGGUUGGGCUGUUCGCCCAUGGAAGCGGUACGCGAGCUGGGUUCAGAACGUCGUGAGACAGUUCGGUCCAUAUCCGGUGUAGGCGUUAGAAUAUUGAGAGGAGCCUUCUUUAGUACGAGAGGACCGAGAAGGACACACCGCUGGUGUACCAGUUAUCGUGCCAACGGUAAACGCUGGGUAGCUAUGUGUGGAGAGGAUAACCGCUGAAAGCAUCUAAGUGGGAAGCCCACCUCAAGAUGAG
rnacentral:rRNA from 1 species